CGGGUAAGUUCCGACCCGCACGAAUGGUGUAACGACCUCCCCACUGUCUCGGCAGGAGACUCGGCGAAAUUGUAGCGCCCGUGAAGAUGCGGGCUACCCGCAGCUGGACGGAAAGACCCCGUGAACCUUCACUAUAACCUGGCACUGAACUUCGGUUGAGUAUGUGUAGGAUAGGUGGGAGGCUUUGAACCCGGGAUUCCGGUCCCGGUGGAGCCAUCCUUGAAAUACCACCCUGUAUACCAUUUUGACCUAACUCGGACCCGUCAUCCGGGCCGAAGACAGUGUUUGCUGGGCAGUUUGACUGGGGCGGUCUCCUCCUAAAAAGUAACGGAGGAGCGCAAAGGUUGGCUCAGCAUGGUUGGAAACCAUGUGUCGAGUGCAAGAGCAUAAGCCAGCUUUACUGCGAGUGCGACAGCACAAGCAGUCUCGAAAGAGGGCUCUAGUGAUCCGGUAGUCCCGUGUGGAAGGGCUAUCGCUCAACGGAUAAAAGGUAC
rnacentral:rRNA from 16 species